rnacentral:rRNA from 1 species
GUGCCAGCCGCCGCGGUAAUACGUAGGCAGCAAGCGUUGUUCGGAAUUACUGGGCGUAAAGAGUGUGUAGGUGGUGUCGUAAGUUUGGUGUGAAAUCUCCCGGCUUAACUGGGAGGGUGCGCCGAAGACUGCGAUGCUGGAGUAUGGGAGAGGAAAGCGGAAUUCCUGGUGUAGCGGUGAAAUGCGUAGAUAUCAGGAGGAACACCUGCGGUGUAGACGGCUUUCUGGACCAUUACUGACACUGAGACACGAAAGCGUGGGUAGCAAACAGGAUUAGAAACCCCCGUAGUCC